AUGACUAUCACAAAGGGGCAGCCUGAUGCACUAAAGCUCCCGCUAUGUGUUAGGGUCCGGGGAAGGGCUGGACCACAUGAGUCUAUCAUACACACGAGAAACGAAGCUGAACUCUUACUUUGGCUUUCUGGAAAGGAUAACCUAUCUAACUACCCUUUAGGACUGAUCAUGACAGCUCCGUUAUCACCCGUUCACAUUUUUCUUCUAAAAUCUUUACAGCUUCUGUAAACAGCACCUCAGGUGGCAAAGCUCCAGUUGAUUCUAUGGUAAAGAUGAAAUGAUCAUUUACACGUCUCAGUGCUACAUUCUUGUCCCAACCUUCCUCUCUGAUGCAUUCCCUACAGAGAGUGCAAGCCCUUGGUCGAGCAACAGUUGCCCUCUUUUUACCUUUACCAAUAUCUUCGAUGUCAAACACCUUAAGCGGACACUUCUUCACAAGUGCUUCUGCUUCAUCAUCUUCAAUAUCCCGCAAUAAUAAAACCUCGGGAAGCAUCCUGUACCACGCCGUAGCCACAGGAGACCACUUUGCAUGUGUCUUACCCAUUCCUUUAACAGCAUGAGCUUCUAGCUCGAUUUCCUGACCCGGUCCAAGUUUGGCUACAAUAAUAUCUGCAUCUUUUGGGGCAAUUGGUUCGUCCGAGAAUUCUGGUCGAGUAUCCUGACUACAGCUGAAUGAAGUAUAAGUUUUUGGUUUCGCUAUCGAACUUGAUGCUGAAUGUUCUGUUCCUAGUAUCAAUUCACUGCCAUUUG
rnacentral:misc_RNA from 1 species